CGGAUAGAGCCGGCGAAGUCGCUCGUAUUCAGCCAAAGGCUCGGGGCCGUCCGCUGUCGGGUUGUUAAUAGCGCUCGGCGGUGGUGCGUGUCUCAAGUUGAGGUGCAUUUGCGGGUGUUUGCGCUGAGACUUGCGAGGUGGCUGCUGAACCCGUGUUUAGAGGCUUCCCUCUGGGUUGAACCUGGGUGCGGUGACAGUUGUUCACCUUGCUCGUACACGCGUCUGGCCUACGGACCUGGAUUGCGCCGCUGUUUGUGCACGGUGGUAUCGCAUGCGAUGCCUAGUGUGCGGGCGGUGGUUCGGCUUGGUUGUCCACAGACGUGCUCUCGGUGUAGAAGCUGGUUAUCUCUCCGACCCGUCUUGAAACACGGACCAAGGAGUUUAGCGUAUGCGCGAGUCAUUGGGUGAGAAAACCCAUAGGCGCAAUGAAAGUAAAGGCUCGGUCGCCGGGCUGACAUGCGAGUGCUCCGGCUUCGGCUAGGCACGCAGCAUGGUCCCGUUGUAGUCGCUUGCGACGCAGCGGAGACAGAGCGUAUGCGCUGAG
rnacentral:rRNA from 1 species